AGUGAACGCUGGCGGCGUGCUUAACACAUGCAAGUCGAACGAGAAACGGAUUUAGCUUGCUAAAUUGCAGUCUAAGUGGCGCACGGGUGAGUAAUGUAUAGGUAACAUGCCUUCUACUAGGGGAUAACAGUUGGAAACGACUGCUAAUACCCUAUAUUCCUUAUUAGCACAAGUGUGUAAGGGAAAGAUUCAUUGGUAGAAGAUUGGCCUAUAUUGUAUCAGCUAGUUGGUAGUGUAAUGGACUACCAAGGCUAUGACGCAUAACUGGUUUGAGAGGAUGAUCAGUCACACUGGAACUGAGACACGGUCCAGACUCCUACGGGAGGCAGCAGUGGGGAAUAUUGCAUAAUGGGCGAAAGCCUGAUGCAGCAACGCCGCGUGGAGGAUGACACAUUUCGGUGCGUAAACUCCUUUUAUAUGGGAAGAUGAUGACGGUACCAUAUGAAUAAGCACCGGCUAACUCCGUGCCAGCCGCCGCGGUAA
rnacentral:rRNA from 1 species